UACGUAGGGGGCUAGCGUUGUCCGGAUUUAUUGGGCGUAAAGAGCUCGUAGGUGGUUCGGUAAGUCGGAUGUGAAAUCUCCAGGCUCAACCUGGAGGGGUCAUUCGAUACUGCCGUGACUAGAGUUCGGUAGAGGAGUGUGGAAUUCCUGGUGGAGCGGUGAAAUGCGCAGAUAUCAGGAGGAACACCGGUGGCGAAGGCGGAUCUCUGGGCCUUACCUGACGCUGAGGCGCGAAAGCUAGGGGAGCGAACAGG
rnacentral:rRNA from 1 species